rfam:Glossina palpalis gambiensis isolate 146720 unplaced genomic scaffold Scaffold76, whole genome shotgun sequence.
UGGCUGUAUCAUAAUAUUCCCAAGUGUUUUUCUCGGGAAAACUUACCAGCUUCGAACAUAAGCGUAUAAGAGAGUUCUUUCUCGAAGCUAUGGGUGUUCGUAGAGUGAUUUGUCUGAACUGAGACUCAAAUCUAUUAAAUUGAUGUUUUCAAUAUUAUGGCUUUUAUAGCCUUCAUUUACGAGCACAAUAAAAUGUGUGAGGGUUUGAAUGCGUUUAUAAAAUUGGAGUCGUAACUGUUGGUUUGUCCUUUUAUGGGACACUACCCUCUUAAAUAGACAAAUUGCGUCUAGCAAUAAUGAGAUUGAGCAAUAACAGGUCUGUGAUGCCCUUAGAUGUCCUGGGCUGCACGCGCGCUACAAUGAAAGUAUCAACGUGUAUUUCCUAGACCGAGAAGUCCAGGUAAGCCAGGUGAACCGCUUUCGUGCUUGGGAUUGUGAACAGAAACUUGGAACUCCCAAUAACUGUGAGUCAUUAACUCGCAAU